GCGACCGUGGGUAGGGGUUCUACCUGUGUGAUGCUGAGAAGUAUCAUGAAGGAAAACAAAGCAGUGUAAGAAGAUAGAAACCGGGUCAGUAAAGGAGAAGGCUGGGCAGCGAAGAGAGAAAAGAGCCCUGUUUAUGAGAAAGCGCUUUGCCGGGGGAAAGGAGCGACAGGCAAAGGCCUUUCAAGAAGCUCAAAAUGACCGCUGUGUGGACCAGGUGUGCUAGGUGAAGUCUGAGAGGUAGCCAGAGACUAGGUCCUGUUGGAUUUUAUUCUAAGAAAAAUGGGAAGCAUCAGAGGGAUGAUGGGCUGUGUCUUAAGUUUUCGAAAGAUCCCUCUGGCUGCUCAGUGUGAAUAGACCAGAGGGGAGUCGUGAGGAUAGGGAGGUUGUAAGGGUGGAAGCAAAGAGAUUGUAGAGUAGAAGGUGAUUGCAGGUGAUGAAUUGGAUGCCAGUGUGGCUAAGGCGAAAUGAGCUAGGAGAAGAAUGAUGAGAAGUAGCCAUGGGCCAGACCAGAUAGGGCCUUGUACGUCAUGGAAUUCUUUCCCAGAGAGUUGGGAGGCCUGGGGAAGAGUAAGGUGGUCCCACUUAAGUUUUACAAGGAAUACUCAGGUUGCCGUGUGUGAAUAGACCGGAGAGGGGUGAGAACGGAGGCGGGCAGAGAGUGCAGUUAGGAAGCUGUAACGGGGAUGGAGGCAGACGAUGGGUUAGACUACAGUGGAGGUGGUAGAAGUAGGGUAGGAUUGGGGAUCUAAUUUGUAGAGCCAACGGUUAUCGACGAAAAUUCAAUUAACUAUCAAGUUAAGAAGAAAAAAAAGGGAUUUUAUUCGAGCCAAACUGAGGAUUAUCACCUGGGAAGCAGAUUCUCAGAAAGUUCUGAGAGCUCUUCCUCCCGUUAGAAGUCGAAGGUAUAGUCUGUACAUUUUUGAGACAACGGAUCGUACAUCAAAAUGACGUACUGAUGUUUCACUUAAAGUUCACCAAGGAUACAUAGACCAGGGUCUUGCUAAUGUGAUGUGGAGUAUGAGUGGAAGGAUGGUAGUGCUGUUACUGAGAUGGGGAACCCUGCGGGAGGAGCAAAUUUAGCAGAGGCGUAGUUUGGAGCAAGUUAAGUCUCAAUUGCCUGUGAACCCUCGUGGCAAUGUUGAGGAACGAAUUGGCUAUUCCAGUCUGGAGUUCAGGCUGGAGCAGUGAAUGACAAGCCACCCUUGUCUAGGUGGGAAUUAAAACCAAGGACCUGAAUGAAAGUACCUGGGAGGAGAGUGUGGAUAAAGUAGAAAGAUCUAAGGACCACGAACUGGGGUACUCCAGCAUUCUGAGAUGGAGAGGAGAAGGAAAAUCCAGCAAAAGAACCUGGGAAGAAGUGGCCAUUGAGUAAGAGGAAAACCAAGAGAUCGUGUGUCCAUAAAGUCAGUCGAAGAAAGUUUUUCUGAAAGGAGAAACUGAUCAGCUGGAUUGAAUACUGCUAGGAGGUGGAAUAAAAUUGUCCCACCAUUCACAACAGCGUGACCCCGGGCAAAGCAAGUACUCUCUCUGAACCGCUGUUUCCUCAUUUGCAAAGAUGAGACAGGAGAGUCGCACCUGUCUCGGGCUUGUUAAAAGGUGUGAACAUGCCUGGUACAUGAAGAUUAAAGUCGUCCCCCCAUCCAUCCAGCACUGCCCCCCUCACAGGUCAUCAGGGAGCAUCAAAGGAGCUGAGAACGAGAAAGCUCUUUGUCAACUGUACAGCACCCUGCAAAAGCCUAAACUACUCUGUAAAGUCUCAGGGUUCCUGCUGCAAGGUCCUGUCACUCCGGUCAACUUUGAUUUCAAAGUUCAUAUGAAAGGAGUCUGGAAAAUUAAAAAUAGAUCUUGUUUAACCUUUCUGAUUUCCAUUUUGUCCAUCACUUAGGUAAUGAUUACGAAAUAUAAAAUGUGUACUUGCAGAGCGUGUUUCUGCAAGUUUAGUGGGUUCUGAAAAUGACUGCUCUUCAGUCUUCCUGAGGAGAGGAGUGAAGGCCAGAGAGCCCAGAUGACCCAGAUUGCUGACGUUUGUAGUGCCAGAAAAGUUUUCCCAUCUACCUUCAGCCGUGAUGACCCAGUCGUCUUAGCACCUGCUGUGUGCUUUGUCACUAGAAGGUGAAGGCCGAGAACGCAGGGACAGUGUCAUCUUCACCGUUGUGACCUCAGGUCUUGGUCCAGUAGCACCCAGUACGUGUCAGGCACUUCUAGGCACAAAGGAAAGGUACAGGCAGCGAGCAAGACAGCUAUGGUCCUUGCUGUCACGGAGCGUAGUUUCAAGUACAAGCGAGACAAGAAAAAUAACACCUCCUGUGGUAAGUGCUAUGAGGAAACAGACCAGUGUGAGAGUGAUAAGACGGCCUUUCUGAAAAGUGAGAUUUAAGGUCAGAUCUGGAGGACAUGCAGAAGGGCUGGGAUAAGAUGAGCACUCUGUACAGAAUAGCCUGUGGGGAAACACCUGAGAAGGAAGACACCUGGGCAAAUCUGAGGAAUAAAAAGGCCAGUGUGGCUGGAGCUUAGUGAGUGAGGCAGAGAGCACUGGAGAUGUGAUGAGCAAGCUGGGCGCCACCCGCUCGGGCAGGCCGGUGAGAAGCUUGGCUUUCGUUCUGAGAGCAAUGGAAAGCCACAAGAGGCUUGAAGCAAGAGAGUGGAUCUAACGUAAAAGCUCAUCCCGCUUGCCGAGGGAUGACUGAAUGGCACCAUGCCCUGUGCAGAGCAGAGAUAGAAGGUGCUGCUUCAGCCUCCAGGAUUCAGCUCCAAAGCAAAGGAGUGCCUUUCCUCCAUAAGCUGGCUGUGCAAGAGGGUCCUUGGGUCCACACGAGAAGCAAGCUGACGUUUUUCAGUCUCUAGAUGUUUUGCUUCUCUAGCAGGUUACUGCUUUUUGAUCAGGUUUGUCAUUCUCUUCUGGCAUGUUUGAGAGCAGGAUGGGUUAAGUUUAGGAAAGAGGACAGAAGAGGAAGGCUCAGAAAAGAGCCAGAAGAAUUCAAGGAGACAAGGAGGGUGAGAAGCUCAGGUUGCGGAACUGCCAGGGCAUCUUGUCAUUAAUCAUUUUGAGAAGUAAGGAGUGCGGCAAAGACAAACCUGCAGAAAAGGGGGAAAAUGCUCAGCAUUCAAAAAAAAAGAAGCAAGCUUCGAACCUAAGACAGUGGGAGAAUGAAGGAAUCUAUGAUCGUCAGAGCUUCCCUGCACUAGAAAAAUCACGCUCCCGAUUUUCUGCUGGACACUGGUAGAGACCAAAUGCCAGACCCCACGUGAGUGUGUGAGCUGAGCUGGGUGUGACGUGCUCCACCGAGCCACAUGCCACACUCCACCAUCGCGGGGAGGUCGAUGUGGACGAUGCUAUCAGCCUUGCGCAGGUCCCUGAAGCACAAGUAAGUCACAUGAACAGGUGGCUGAGACUCCCAGGGCACCUGCUCCAUCCCCCCACACCCCACAACGAUGGCCUCAGUGGACUCUCUGUGGGCAGAAGAGUGAAGAAGGAAGACGCAGACCCAGUUAAUAGGUUGCUUUGUAAAUAUGCUGGCACCACGCAGACGUGGAAUGCCGUGCAAAACAGCUUCCCCCACUGUGCCCGAAAGGUAGAGGUGAAGGGGUUCCCCCAGAAGGCCACCUGCCUGGGCGGAGAGAAAGCCAGAGGUCCAGGAUCUACAGCAGUGCAGGGGCAGCAGCUAUCAGAUGGUCUGGGAACUUGGAAAGAACAAGAUUGGAGGCUUAAAGACAAAAAGGUCUGGGGAAGGGGUUUGUGGAUGAACUUCUCAGAAUGAGGAGAGAUGUGAGGGGGAGGUGUAGCCCGUGUCCAUACUCACCAAAGGGCUCCUACACGGGAGGCCUUUAAUAGACAAGUGGCAGGAUGCCUCUCUUGUACACGUCAUUUGUUCUCUUUCUCCAGCCACCCUCUGGCACUACCCAGGGCUUGCUCUAUUGAGCUUAUGUAUAGUGGCCAUGGCCGCAUCUGGUGCUGAUGCCGCAAGGAUGUCAUCAAAGACCUUGGGUCUUUCCACCUUUCUGCUCUGUCAUUCUUGGCAUGUUGGUUUUAGGCCUCAUGCUUAUUGCCUCAUGGUUCCAAAAAGGCCACUGCUGUUCCGGGCUUCAUCACUGCAUUAGACAGGAACAAGGGGAAAGGGCCAUAGGCAAAAGGCUCUUUCCUCAUUAGGUCUCAAGCCUUUGUCUUUUUACUAAGGAAGGGGAGAUCUCCUUAGCAGUCUUCCCCUUACAUCUCAUUUGUCAGAAUUAGGACCUGAGACCAAUUACUGGCCAAAGGGAAUGAGACUGCUAGGAUUGCUUUAUACCAAUUAAGAUUUAUCCCCUGGGGCUAUCUUCCUGAGAUCAAAGGGUAUCUGAUCCCUACUGACAAAAAUUGAGGGGGUGGGAGGUGAGGUUUGAGGCAGGGAAUGGUUGUAGGUUGGACAAUGACCAGUACCCGCCAAAGUUGCCAACAUUUAAAAUUCUGGAGAUUUCACUUAUAAAUCUAACUGGAAGAGUGGGAGGGGCAGACAACAUGACCCCACAUUGCCUCAUGGCAAAGCUGGCUGUCGUCGUCAGAUGAGUCGCGUGCUCUUGGGUUGGCCACCGUCCCCACCACCCUCUAUCACUCACCUGUCUGCUUCACCAUUUCCACUGCCUGCUUGGCUCCUGUGAACAUUUGAGUUUGUGACCCCCGACUUAGGAUGUUGUUUUAGAAAGAUCUGUUUACUUGUGUGUUUAUCCCACUGGGCUGGCACAGUGUUUUAGCAUGUAAGAUGUAAAUAAGGCCAAAAAAAAGAAGCCCUUCCUAAUAAGCCAAGCUAUCACAUUACAUGAGAGGAGUGGUAAAGGCUUUGCCAUCACAAAGACCUAAAUUACUAAAUUACUAGCUCCCGCAGUCUGACUCUCUUGUUUCUCAUCUGUAAGAUGAGGCUAAUCACAUCUGCUCCCCAGCAUCACUGAGAAGCUUAUAUGGUAUAAAGUUUAUAUGCAUAUAAAGCCCCAGGCAAAAAACAUAGAAGUUCCCUGUUCCUUCUCCAGGAAGGAGGAAUAACCAAAGUUGAAAUGAAUUUGGGAUGGAAUUCGGAAGGGAGAUUUUUAAGAGCUGAGGCUACCUCUCAUUAGAUUUGCAUGGCUAGAAGUGCUUAAUAAAUACUUUAUAAUGAUAAUAAAGAUCAUUUAGCUCAGUAGAAUGUAGUUAUACAAAUUGUAAAAAUAUAAUUAUGCCAGGUUGUCAUUAUAGAUAAUGGCCGGAAUACAGGGAUAAUGUGGGCAAACCAGAGCCCACUGUGGUGAUGGCUGCCGGCAGGCAGGCAGCUUGCAGAGAUUUUCAUGUGGGGAGUGGAAGGGGAGGGGCUGGCAUCUGGUGGGGGGAGCAA